CCGGCGACCGGCGCACGGGUGAGUAACACGUAUGUAACCUGCCCUAUGCAGGGGGAUAACCCGGAGAAAUCCGGCCUAAUACCGCGUAACACCUUUUGGGAGCAUUCCCGGGAGGUUAAAGGAGAGAUCCGGCAUAGGAUGGACAUGCGUCGCAUUAGGUAGACGGCGGGGUAACGGCCCACCAUGCCGACGAUGCGUAGGGGUUCUGAGAGGAAGGCCCCCCACACUGGUACUGAGACACGGACCAGACUCCUACGGAAGGCAGCAG
rnacentral:rRNA from 1 species